UGUCUGCCAUUGCUAUUGUUACUGCUGUUGCUGCUGCUCCACAGUCUGCUGGAGACUGUGGAUAGCCUCUGUCAGUGCUCUAACUUGCUGUAUCAAGAUGGCAAACUAUUGUUGGUGUGCUGUUUCCUUCGAUCAUGAGGUACUCAACUCUUCAAAGGUCAUCGGAAGCGCGUCAUGCCGCGAUGAGCAUUGAGCAGAGCUAAGGGAAG
rnacentral:lncRNA from 1 species